rnacentral:rRNA from 1 species
AUUGAACGCUGGCGGCAUGCCUUACACAUGCAAGUCGAACGGCAGCAUGGAAGAGCUUGCUCUUCUGAUGGCGAGUGGCGAACGGGUGAGUAAAGCAUCGGAACGUACCCAGUCGUGGGGGAUAACGUAGCGAAAGUUACGCUAAUACCGCGUACGUCCUGAGGGAGAAAGCGGGGGACUCGCAAGAGCCUCGCGCGAUUGGAGCGGCCGAUAUCAGAUUAGGUAGUUGGUGGGGUAAAGGCUCACCAAGCCAACGAUCUGUAGCUGGUCUGAGAGGACGACCAGCCACACUGGAACUGAGACACGGUCCAGACUCCUACGGGAGGCAGCAGUGGGGAAUUUUGGACAAUGGACGCAAGUCUGAUCCAGCCAUUCCGCGUGCAGGAUGAAGGCCCUCGGGUUGUAAACUGCUUUUGUACGGAACGAAAAGGUUUCUAUUAAUACUAGGAGCUCAUGACGGUACCGUAAGAAUAAGCACCGGCUAACUACGUG